GGGUUGUGAGGUUAAGCGACUAAGCGUACACGGUGGAUGCCCUGGCAGUCAGAGGCGAUGAAGGACGUGCUAAUCUGCGAUAAGCGUCGGUAAGGUGAUAUGAACCGUUAUAACCGGCGAUUUCCGAAUGGGGAAACCCAGUGUGUUUCGACACACUAUCAUUAACUGAAUCCAUAGGUUAAUGAGGCGAACCGGGGGAACUGAAACAUCUAAGUACCCCGAGGAAAAGAAAUCAACCGAGAUUCCCCCAGUAGCGGCGAGCGAACGGGGAGGAGCCCAGAGCCUGAAUCAGUGUGUGUGUUAGUGGAAGCGUCUGGAAAGGCGCGCGAUACAGGGUGACAGCCCCGUACACAAAAAUGCACAUACUGUGAGCUCGAUGAGUAGGGCGGGACACGUGGUAUCCUGUCUGAAUAUGGGGGGACCAUCCUCCAAGGCUAAAUACUCCUGACUGACCGAUAGUGAACCAGUACCGUGAGGGAAAGGCGAAAAGAACCCCGGCGAGGGGAGUGAAAAAGAACCUGAAACCGUGUACGUACAAGCAGUGGGAGCCUCUUAAUGGGGUGACUGCGUACCUUUUGUAUAAUGGGUCAGCGACUUAUAUUCUGUAGCAAGGUUAACCGAAUAGGGGAGCCGAAGGGAAACCGAGUCUUAACUGGGCGUUAAGUUGCAGGGUAUAGACCCGAAACCCGGUGAUCUAGCCAUGGGCAGGUUGAAGGUUGGGUAACACUAACUGGAGGACCGAACCGACUAAUGUUGAAAAAUUAGCGGAUGACUUGUGGCUGGGGGUGAAAGGCCAAUCAAACCGGGAGAUAGCUGGUUCUCCCCGAAAGCUAUUUAGGUAGCGCCUCGUGAAUUCAUCUCCGGGGGUAGAGCACUGUUUCGGCAAGGGGGUCAUCCCGACUUACCAACCCGAUGCAAACUGCGAAUACCGGAGAAUGUUAUCACGGGAGACACACGGCGGGUGCUAACGUCCGUCGUGAAGAGGGAAACAACCCAGACCGCCAGCUAAGGUCCCAAAGUCAUGGUUAAGUGGGAAACGAUGUGGGAAGGCCCAGACAGCCAGGAUGUUGGCUUAGAAGCAGCCAUCAUUUAAAGAAAGCGUAAUAGCUCACUGGUCGAGUCGGCCUGCGCGGAAGAUGUAACGGGGCUAAACCAUGCACCGAAGCUGCGGCAGCGACACUAUGUGUUGUUGGGUAGGGGAGCGUUCUGUAAGCCUGUGAAGGUGUACUGUGAGGUAUGCUGGAGGUAUCAGAAGUGCGAAUGCUGACAUAAGUAACGAUAAAGCGGGUGAAAAGCCCGCUCGCCGGAAGACCAAGGGUUCCUGUCCAACGUUAAUCGGGGCAGGGUGAGUCGACCCCUAAGGCGAGGCCGAAAGGCGUAGUCGAUGGGAAACAGGUUAAUAUUCCUGUACUUGGUGUUACUGCGAAGGGGGGACGGAGAAGGCUAUGUUGGCCGGGCGACGGUUGUCCCGGUUUAAGCGUGUAGGCUGGUUUUCCAGGCAAAUCCGGAAAAUCAAGGCUGAGGCGUGAUGACGAGGCACUACGGUGCUGAAGCAACAAAUGCCCUGCUUCCAGGAAAAGCCUCUAAGCAUCAGGUAACAUCAAAUCGUACCCCAAACCGACACAGGUGGUCAGGUAGAGAAUACCAAGGCGCUUGAGAGAACUCGGGUGAAGGAACUAGGCAAAAUGGUGCCGUAACUUCGGGAGAAGGCACGCUGAUAUGUAGGUGAAGUCCCUCGCGGAUGGAGCUGAAAUCAGUCGAAGAUACCAGCUGGCUGCAACUGUUUAUUAAAAACACAGCACUGUGCAAACACGAAAGUGGACGUAUACGGUGUGACGCCUGCCCGGUGCCGGAAGGUUAAUUGAUGGGGUUAGCGGUAACGCGAAGCUCUUGAUCGAAGCCCCGGUAAACGGCGGCCGUAACUAUAACGGUCCUAAGGUAGCGAAAUUCCUUGUCGGGUAAGUUCCGACCUGCACGAAUGGCGUAAUGAUGGCCAGGCUGUCUCCACCCGAGACUCAGUGAAAUUGAACUCGCUGUGAAGAUGCAGUGUACCCGCGGCAAGACGGAAAGACCCCGUGAACCUUUACUAUAGCUUGACACUGAACAUUGAGCCUUGAUGUGUAGGAUAGGUGGGAGGCUUUGAAGUGUGGACGCCAGUCUGCAUGGAGCCGGCCUUGAAAUACCACCCUUUAAUGUUUGAUGUUCUAACGUUGGCCCCUGAUCGGGGUUGCGGACAGUGUCUGGUGGGUAGUUUGACUGGGGCGGUCUCCUCCUAAAGAGUAACGGAGGAGCACGAAGGUUGGCUAAUCCUGGUCGGACAUCAGGAGGUUAGUGCAAUGGCAUAAGCCAGCUUGACUGCGAGCGUGACGGCGCGAGCAGGUGCGAAAGCAGGUCAUAGUGAUCCGGUGGUUCUGAAUGGAAGGGCCAUCGCUCAACGGAUAAAAGGUACUCCGGGGAUAACAGGCUGAUACCGCCCAAGAGUUCAUAUCGACGGCGGUGUUUGGCACCUCGAUGUCGGCUCAUCACAUCCUGGGGCUGAAGUAGGUCCCAAGGGUAUGGCUGUUCGCCAUUUAAAGUGGUACGCGAGCUGGGUUUAGAACGUCGUGAGACAGUUCGGUCCCUAUCUGCCGUGGGCGCUGGAGAACUGAGGGGGGCUGCUCCUAGUACGAGAGGACCGGAGUGGACGCAUCACUGGUGUUCGGGUUGUCAUGCCAAUGGCACUGCCCGGUAGCUAAAUGCGGAAGAGAUAAGUGCUGAAAGCAUCUAAGCACGAAACUUGCCCCGAGAUGAGUUCUCCCUGACUCUUUAAGGGUCCUGAAGGAACGUUGAAGACGACGACGUUGAUAGGCCGGGUGUGUAAGCGCAGCGAUGCGUUGAGCUAACCGGUACUAAUGAACCGUGAGGCUUAACCUUACAACGCCGAAG
rnacentral:rRNA from 1 species